ensembl:lncRNA LINC00511 long intergenic non-protein coding RNA 511
AGGGCGCGCAGGCGGCGCGGGUGCGCGGUGCGGCGCUGGUAUCCAGAGGACGCGGUCACCGCCUCUGGCAUUUGUCGUUCUGCGCUUCUCCGCAAGGACCCUCUGUUAGGCAGGCGCCCACCGUAAGCCUCCCGGGCCUUGUGAACCUGCAAACCCAAGUCUGAGAGACGAUCCGCCUUCAGCGCUUUCCAGCUUGGCAGAGAGGCUUUCCCGGCGGGGAUCUUUGGUUGGCGCUGGCGAUGCGCGGGGAAGAAAGGCGAGGAGCGGCGUCCAGGCUGGGUGAUGUCCCAGCACGAGUAGGCGGGAUGCGCUCGCUUGGUCCUCCGGGCGCCCGGUCCCUGCCCGCGUCGCGCGCCCACCCCUGGGGACGAGAAGGCGGCCGCCUGAGGACCCCCGCCCGCGACCUCCGCGAGUCUGGAGCGCAGAGGACAGGGUCUGGCUGCUCUUUGGCCUUGGAUGGAAAGUGGGGAAUUGGGUGGGGGGCUGCGGACCCCUUAACGUGGAUUACUUGGUGUGUAUCAGCUGGGCUCAGAAGACCCACGACCUCUUCUCCAUCCGUGGAUUGAUUUGUUCUGCUUAACAGCUGGGUCGCCAAGCUGGAGGUAUUUUUCCCUCUCCACCCUGGUCUUCUCCUGUAACGUGUGGCCGCCUUUUCCAGCACGGCCUCCUGCCUUCCUGGUGCACUUUUUGGAGAACGUGGUGGAAUCAGAGGUUUCUGGCUGACUCGGUGGGUGCUUUGAACCAGGAAAGGACAAGAAAGAGGUGCCACCUCCUGAGUCCUGGUUCCUGCGGCUCCGUCGAAUCUGCAGUGAAGGCCUUUGGGAAGCGUGGGUUAUGUGGGUCCAGGGGUCCCAUCCUCCCGUGGAGGCCCUUGACCUGAGGAUCACUAACUCACACCCCACCGACUUCCGGCCCCCAACAAGGGCAGUGUUCCUCUUGCUCCAUUCUGCUCUGAAGUCCCCCAAACCGCUUCCUGGGGCUGCUUAGUGAAAUACAAGGCUCAUCUCUGAGGACCUCUACAGGGCUGGAUGGGAAGGACUGAUCCACAUUCCCACCAGGAAGUUUAGCAGAACCCCCGCGUGCCACCUGGACCCCUUGGAAGGACCUGGCUCAGGCUGGACCACCUCUUGAGAGGCAGGAGCUCUGGAUUUGAUCAAGAAUUCUUUGCUGAGCAUGGUGCCUCAUGCCUAUAAUCCCAACACUUUGGGAGGCCAGUGUGGGAGGAUCUCUUGAGCCCAGGAGUUCAAGACUAGCCUGGGCAACACAGAGAGACCCCAUCUCUAAAAUAAUAAUAAUAAUAAAAUAAAAAAUUAGCAGGGCAUGGUGGCAUGUGCCUGUAGUCCCAGCUACCCAGGAGGCUGAGGCAAGAGGAUGGCUGGAGCCUGGGAUGUUGAGGCUGCAAUGAACUGUGAUUACCCCACUGCACUCCAGCCUGGGCAAAAGAGCGAGAGACCCUGUCUCAAAUAAUAAUAAUAAUAAUAAUCUUAUUUUGGAGAAUAAAGAGACCUCUGGAUUUGAGGUGCCAUUUGGGUAGAAAGAAAAGACGUUUACACCGAGAAAUAGUCUGUGUUGCCCUGAAGGAGCAGAGGGAUGCAUCGCUGGAGGUGACCUACAGUUGAAGAAGACUCAUUAUGACAGACCUUGUCCUUCUUCCUUGUGGAAAGUGUUUCCUCUGCUGCUACUGCUCAUGAGACUCUUCCCCCUCCCUGUCCCAGGGAACCAAAGGGCUUUCUACCACACCCUUUCUUGCCCCCCGCCUCCCAUGUCUGCUGUGCCUUUGUACUCAGCAAUUCUUGUUUGCUCCAUUAUCUUCCAGCCGGAUACAGAGUGAAUAGUUAACCACACUUAGGUCAAAUAGGAUCUAAAUUUUUGUUCCUGCUCCGUGUAAAGAGGCCAGUGUUUGUGUGUUGCAAGCAGCCUUGGAAUAGUAACUCUUCUCAUUUGUUUGGGAUCUGGCCACCAAGUUCCAGAAUGAUACACGGAUCAGUGCAGAAGUUCAUCAGGCUCUCGGACCUUAGGGCUGUUGGAGAAGGCUUCAGCAGCAGAACUGAUGGUGAAGGCUCGUGUUCUCCAUCCUCAACUUUCUUUGCUUCGAUCAUACACAAGAAUACAUUUGGAAGGGCAAAAAAUGAACACUGUCGUUCAUUGCAGCCGUGUUUUGUGACACAGAUGCACAGUCUGCUGUGAAGACCUUCUCUCAAGUGGCAUUUGGGAGUCCAUGCCAGAUCAUGGUGCUUCAUGAGAGACUGACAGCUAUCAGGGGUUGUGGCACUUAGUGAGGACUCUCCUCCCCCAGUGUGUGCUGAUGACACAUACACACCUGACAAUAGCUUGAGUCUUCUCUGUUCCUUUUACUCUGUAGCCAACAUACACAUGAUUUAAAACCCUUUCUAAAUAUCUAUCAUGGUUCAUCCUUGUCCAAAUGCAGAGUCAGAGCUAUUUGUACUUCAUUAUUAUUUCCAAGGCGAAUAGUUGGCUUUCUUUUUGCAAAAAUAAUUAAAGUUUUUGUAUGUUGCAGUUGC